rnacentral:rRNA from 1 species
ACUGAGUGGCGGACGGGUGAGUAACGCGUGGGUAACCUGCCCUGUACAGGGGGACAACAGUUAGAAAUGACUGCUAAUACCGCAUAAGCGCACAGGACCGCAUGGUCCGGUGUGAAAAACUCCGGUGGUACAGGAUGGACCCGCGUCUGAUUAGGUAGUUGGCGGGGUAACGGCCCACCAAGCCGACGAUCAGUAGCCGACCUGAGAGGGUGACCGGCCACAUUGGGACUGAGACACGGCCCAAACUCCUACGGAAGGCAGCAG